rnacentral:rRNA from 1 species
GAUGAACGCUGGCGGCGUGCCUAAUACAUGCAAGUCGAGCGAACAGAUGAGGAGCUUGCUCCUCUGACGUUAGCGGCGGACGGGUGAGUAACACGUGGAUAACCUACCUAUAAGACUGGGAUAACUUCGGGAAACCGGAGCUAAUACCGGAUAAUAUAUUGAACCGCAUGGUUCAAUAGUGAAAGACGGUUUUGCUGUCACUUAUAGAUGGAUCCGCGCCGCAUUAGUUAGUUGGUAAGGUAACGGCUUUCCAAGGCAACGAUGCGUAGCCGACCUGAGAGGGUGAUCGCCCACCCUGGAACUGAGACACGGUCCAGACUCCUACGGGAGGCAGCAGUAGGGAAUCUUCCGCAAUGGGCGAAAGCCUGACGGAGCAACGCCGCGUGAGUGAUGAAGGUCUUCGGAUCGUAAAACUCUGUUAUUAGGGAAGAACAAAUGUGUAAGUAACUAUGCACGUCUUGACGGUACCUAAUCAGAAAGCCACGGCUAACUACGUG